rnacentral:piRNA from 1 species
UAACAAUUCGCUUAGGGAAAC